GUCUGGUUAAUUGGCUCUCAGAUGGACAUGCUUGGAUCUGAGCCUGGAAAGAAGUCAGCUUUGAAGGUCCUGACUCCCAGGGUGAUGAAGAGUCAUUUAAAUGUUGAGGUCUUCAAUUCCUUGCACUCUAAAAUGGAGAUUCUGGUAAUAAAUUCUGGCUGACCAAACAAGAUUGUAAAGAGGACCAAAUGCUUCGUAAAUGCAUCAUCACCAGAACCUGCAC